AUCCAGCUGAUGAUUCCCAAAUAGGACGAAAUGUGCAUCCUGGAU
rnacentral:hammerhead_ribozyme from 1 species